rnacentral:rRNA from 1 species
GAUGAACGCUGGCGGCGUGCCUAAUACAUGCAGGUCGAGCGAAUGGAUUAAGAGCUUGCUCUUAUGAAGUUAGCGGCGGACGGGUGAGCAACACGUGGGUAACCUGCCCAUAAGACUGGGAUAACUCCGGGAAACCGGGGCUAAUACCGGAUAACAUUUUGAACCGCAUGGUUCGAAAUUGAAAGGCGGCUUCGGCUGUCACUUAUGGAUGGACCCGCGUCGCAUUAGCUAGUUGGUGAGGUAACGGCUCACCAAGGCAACGAUGCGUAGCCGACCUGAGAGGGUGAUCGGCCACACUGGGACUGAGACACGGCCCAGACUCCUACGGGAGGCAGCAGUAGGGAAUCUUCCGCAAUGGACGAAAGUCUGACGGAGCAACGCCGCGUGAGUGAUGAAGGCUUUCGGGUCGUAAAACUCUGUUGUUAGGGAAGAACAAGUGCUAGUUGAAUAAGCUGGCACCGUGACGGUACCUAACCAGAAAGCCACGGCUAACUACGUGCCAGCCGCCGCAGUAA